rnacentral:rRNA from 1 species
UAACGAAUAUUCCGCAAUGCGCGAAAGCGUGACGGAGCAAUGCCGCGUGCAGGAUGAAGCCCCUCGGGGUGUAAACUGCUGUCAGGGUUUAGGAACACAAUGACCAGACCCAGAGGAAGGACCGGCUAACUCUGUGCCAGCAGCCGCGGUAAUACAGAGGGUCCAAGCGUUAAUCGGAAUCACUGGGCUUAAAGGGUCCGCAGGCGGAUGUUCAAGUGCGGUGUGAAAUCCCACGGCUUAACCGUGGAAUGGCACUGCAUACUGUUCAUCUUGAGCCCGGCAGGGGUCGUCGGAACGAUAGGUGGAGCGGUGAAAUGCGUAGAUAUCUAUCGGAACGCCAAUGGUGAAGACAGACGACUAGGCCGGCGCUGACGCUCAGGGACGAAAGCAUGGGUAGCGAACGGGAUUAGAUACCCCCGUAGUCC